rnacentral:rRNA from 1 species
UGAAUACGAGACGCUAAGGCGUCGAAGUAGUGUAUGUCAUGCUUCCAAGAAAAGCUUGCACUGUCAUAGAUAAAAAACGCCUGUACCAUAACCGACACAGGUGGGUAGGUAGAGUAUACUAAGGGGCGCGAGAUAACUCUCUCUAAGGAACUCGGCAAAAUAACUCCGUAACUUCGGGAGAAGGAGUGCCUUAUUCGUAAGGUUGCAAUAACAAGAUCCAAGCAACUGUUUAUCAAAAACACAGGUCUCCGCUAAGUCGUAAGACGAUGUAUGGGGGCUGACGCCUGCCCAGUGCCAGAAGGUUAAAGAAGUCGGUUAGCAAUUGCGAAGCUGGUAACUGAAGCCCUGGUGAACGGCGGCCGUAACAAUAACGGUCCUAAGGUAGCGAAAUUCCUUGUCGGGUAAGUUCCGACCCGCACGAAAGGCGUAAUGAUUUGGAUACUGUCUCGGAGAGGGGCUCGGUGAAAUAGACUUGUCUGUGAAGAUGCGGACUACCUGCACCAGGACAGAAAGACCCUAUGAAGCUUUACUGUAACUUGAAAUUGAAAUUGGACUUUAUUCGCGCAGUAUAGGUGGGAGGCGUUGAUUAUAAUCUUGCGGGAUUAUUGGAGCCAUCAGUGAGAUACCACCCUUGUAAUGUUAGAUUUCUAACUUUGAAUCAUUAUCUGGUCAAAGAACAGUUUCAGGCGGGCAGUUUGACUGGGGCGGUCGCCUCCUAAACGGUAACGGAGGCGUACAAAGGUUUCCUCUGAACGGUUAGAAAUCGUAUCUAGAGUGUAAAGGCAUAAGGAAGCUUGACUGUGAGACCUACAAGUCGAGCAGGGACGAAAGUCGGUCUUAGUGAUCUGACGGUACUGAGUGGAAAGGCCGUCACUCAACGGAUAAAAGUUACUCUAAGGAUAACAGGCUGAUCUCCCCCAAGAGCUCACAUCGACGGGGAGGUUUGGCACCUCGAUGUCGGCUCAUCGCAUCCUGGGGCGGUAGUACGUCCCAAGGGUUGGGCUGUUCGCCCAUGAAAGCGGUACGCGAGCUGGGUUCAGAACGUCGUGAGACAGUUCGGUCCAUAUCCGGUGUAGGCGUUAGAAUAUUGAGAGGAGCCUUCUUUAGUACGAGAGGACCGAGAAGGACAUACCUCUGGUGUACCAGUUAUCGUGCCAACGGUAAACGCUGGGUAGCUAUGUAUGGAGUGGAUAACCGCUGAAAGCAUCUAAGUGGGAACCCCACCUCAAGAUAAGUAUUCUCAUCACGUAAGUGAGUAAGGUCACGGUAAGACUAACCGUUUGAUAGGCAUUAAGUGUAAGUACAGUAAUGUAUGUGCUGAGAUGUCCUAAUAGACCGAGGAC